rnacentral:rRNA from 1 species
AGCGAACGCUGGCGGCAGGCCUAAAACAUGCAAGUCGAACGCCGUAGCAAUACGGAGUGGCAGACGGGUGAGUAACGCGUGGGAACGUACCCUUUGGUUCGGAACAACACAGGGAAACUUGUGCUAAUACCGGAUAAGCCCUUACGGGGAAAGAUUUAUCGCCAAAGGAUCGGCCCGCGUCUGAUUAGCUUGUUGGUGAGGUAACGGCUCACCAAGGCUACGAUCAGUAGCUGGUCUGAGAGGAUGAUCAGCCACACUGGGACUGAGACACGGCCCAGACUCCUACGGGAGGCAGCAGUUAGGAAUCUUGGACAAUGGGCGCAAGCCUGAUCCAGCCAUGCCGCGUGAGUGAUGAAGGCCUUAGGGUUGUAAAGCUCUUUCAGCGGGGAAGAUAAUGACGGUACCCGCAGAAGAAGCCCCGGCUAACUUCGUGCCAGCAGCCGCAGU